rnacentral:tRNA from 1 species
GACCGCGUAGCUCAGUUGGUAGAGCAUUGGACUAGUAUCCCAAAGGUAGCGGGUUCGAUUCCCACCGUGGUCA